CCUACGGGUGGCAGCAGUAGGGAAUAUUGCUCAAUGGGGGAAACCCUGAAGCAGCAACGCCGCGUGGAGGAUGAAGGGUGGAGGAUGGGAAACUCCUUUUGUUAGAGAAGAUAAUGACGGUAUCUAACGAAUAAGCACCGGCUAACUCCGUGCCAGCAGCCGCGGUAAUACGGAGGGUGCAAGCGUUACGCGGAAACACUGGGCUGAAAGAGCGCGUAGGCGGGAUAGCAAGUCAGAUGUGAAAUCCUAUGGCUUAACCAUAGAACUGCAUUUGAAACUGUUAUUCUAGAGUAUGGGAGAGGUAGGUGGAAUUCUUGGUGUAGGGGUAAAAUCCGUAGAGAUCAAGAGGAAUACUCAUUGCGAAGGCGACCUGCUAGAACAUAACUGACGCUGAUGCGCGAAAGCGUGGGGAGCAAACAGGAUUAGAUACCCGGGUAGUC
rnacentral:rRNA from 1 species